GUUUAGAAGGGCGUUAAUCACAAAGGGGACAUGCAAGCUAGGGGAAGCUGGUAAUUGAGCGUGCUGGUGAGGAGAAAGCUGGGCGCCUGAUGUCUCAGGGCCACUAGACCUGCGGCUCACAUGCUUUCCUGGGGCCAGGGACAGUGAGUGAUGGAAGGACAGGGAGAGAGGAGCCACGAUGGGCCUGUGAUAGAAGGAGCCUCUGUCUCCCUGCUGUUGGAGGAACUGGUGUAGGGUCCAGGGUGAGUUCUCUGUCUUCUUGCCUGGCCUGGAUGUCGCUGCUCCUGCUCGCUGAGGCAUGAGGUAGGGGUGUCUUAGAGCAAGGCUUAUGUUAAUUUAGUGAGCACGAGUGCGUGUAUGUGUGUGUGUGUUUGGUGCACGAGCGUGUAUGUGCCAUGUCGCACGAGAGGAGGUUAGAAAUAACUUUUGGAAGUUGUUUUUCUGCUUGCACCGUGUGGGAUACAAGAACUGAACUCUGGUCUGCAGGCUUGGUAGCAAGUGCCUUUAUUGCCUGAGCCAUCUCAGUAGCCCUGGGUUCUUAUUUUUAACAAUGCUCACAGGUUCUGUCACCCACACAGCCACUUCUUUUCCUCUUUUUCAUGGAAGCCGCUGGAGGCUGUGGUUCCUGGGAGCUCAAGUGCAGCCCCAUGGUGAAAUUCAUCUAGCAAGCACUACUGUGAGGUUCUAUCUGGCAAAGGGACACGUGGAGAUGGGGACCAAGAGGAGGAGGCAUCCUGGACGUCACCAGGUGCCCCAUCCACGGCGAGGGAAGCCUGGACCCGGCUCUGCUGUCACUCAGAACAGGUCGGGGACUCCGGUGACCACGUCCCUGCCCGCUGCAUGCUUGGAAAGCACUGCCUUUGCCAGAAGCCGAGGCGAGAAGGCUCCCAAAGCAGACACCGGACCCCCGAGUAGCUCUGGUCUCCACGGGCCACCCCGGGAGCUGUAGGGCGAGGCCCACCCGCGCGCCGUACUGCGCAUGCGUCAGUCGGCUGAGCAGGAGGCCGCCCGCGCAGCCUCGCUCCCGCCCGGUCGCCGUGGCAACGGGCUCGCGGGGGGAGGGGCCGCGCCGCGGCGGCUGCUAUUUCUGCUGCUUCCUGUUCCUUGCGGCCACGUCGCCAUGGCAACGGAGUUACUCAGCUCGGCCGCCUCUCGGCUCGGCUGGCGCGCGUGACCCCGGCCGCUCGCGCCCCCUCGUCCCCCUCCCGCACCCUCCCCGGUGCCCGCGGCCGGCAGGGAGGCAGAUUGAUGGGCGACGCUUAUUAAAACACAGUGGAAGCGUUUCCGUUUUUAUGACGCUGACGAGGCAGCGUUAUUUACUGUUAUUGUUCGCCCUGGCCGCCCGGGAGCUCACCUUCGGCCAGUCCCAGGACGGCGCGUGGCACCCCGGGGUCCCACCUAUUCUCAGAGCCCCUUCUCCCCGCGACAGCCGUGGAGAGGGGCCGCACAGGCCCGGGGGCUCAUGCUUGAAGGAGAAAAAGGCGACAAAAAUAAAUAAAUAAAAGAGAAGCA
rnacentral:lncRNA from 1 species